UGAUUCCAUCCCGAACUCAGAAGUGAAACGAAACAGCGUCGAUGGUAGUGUGGGGUCUCCCCAUGUGAGAGUAGAACAUCGCCAGGC
rnacentral:rRNA from 1 species